UACGUAGGGGGCAAGCGUUGUCCGGAUUUAUUGGGCGUAAAGAGCUCGUAGGCGGUUUGGUAAGUCUGGUGUGAAAUCUCCACGCUCAACGUGGAGGGGCCACCCGAUACUGCCAUGACUGGAGUCCGGUAGAGGAGUGUGGAAUUCCUGGUGUAGCGGUGAAAUGCGUAGAUAUCAGGAGGAACACCUGUGGCGAAAGCGGCUCACUGGACCAUAACUGACGCUGAUGCACGAAAGCGUGGGGAGCAAACAGG
rnacentral:rRNA from 1 species